rnacentral:misc_RNA from 1 species
AACGCACCUUGCGCCCUCUGGUAUUCCGGAGGGCAUGCCUGUUUGAGUGUCAUGUAGACUCAACCACCUCGGGUUUCCGAAUUGGUUGGACUUGGGUGCUGCCGUCCGGCUCGCCUCAAAUGUGUUAGCGGGCUCUGAACCGAUACUGGCGUGAUAAGUUUCGCCAAGCAGAGGGGAUGACCGCUCAUAACCGCCCUCGGGCAAUCUUCUGACUCUGACCUCAAGUCAGGUAGGACUACCCGCUGAACUUAA